rnacentral:rRNA from 1 species
ACCGGCAGCUCAAGUGGUGGCCAUUUUUAUUGGGCCUAAAGCGUUCGUAGCCGGUUUGAUAAGUCUCUGGUGAAAUCCCGCAGCUUAACUGUGGGACUUGCUGGAGAUACUAUUAGACUUGAGGUCGGGAGAGGUUAGGGGUACUCCCAGGGUAGGGGGAAAAGCCUGUAAUCGUGGGAGGACCACCUGUGGCGAAGGCGUCGAACUGGAACGGAUUUGACGGUGAGGCACGAAAUCAAGGAGCGCGCACCG